rnacentral:rRNA from 1 species
UACGAGAGGCCCAAACGUUAUUCGGAAUUACUGGGCUUAAAGAGUUCGUAGGCGGCAUGAAAAGUAGGGUGUGAAAGCCCUCGGCUCAACCGAGGAAUUGCGCUCUAAACUGUCGUGCUCGAGGAAUCUAGAGGUGAGCGGAACUGAUGGUGGAGCGGUGAAAUGCGUUGAUAUCAUCAGGAACACCGGAGGCGAAGGCGGCUCACUGGGGAUUUUCUGACGCUGAGGAACGAAAGCCAGGGGAGCGAACGGG